rnacentral:rRNA from 1 species
UACGUAGGGUGCGAGCGUUGUCCGGAAUUACUGAGCGUAAAGAGCUCGUAGGUGGUUUGUCGCGUUGUUCGUGAAAUCUCACGGCUUAACUGUGAGCGUGCGGGCGAUACGGGCAGACUUGAGUACUGCAGGGGAGACUGGAAUUCCUGGUGUAGCGGUGGAAUGCGCAGAUAUCAGGAGGAACACCGGUGGCGAAGGCGGGUCUCUGGGCAGUAACUGACGCUGAGGAGCGAAAGCGUGGGGAGCGAACAGG